GCACAACUUAGCAGCCAUUUGUAUUUCUGAUGCAGUUAAGCAGACGGCAAGUUUAUCUGUUGGAAGUUUUGAUGUGUUUGCUGUGUGGUUUGAAACUUCAGACAAGAAGUGAUUUGAGUUUAUCAUUUCUUAUAUAUUAUUGAUUAUGGAGCAUGUUUUUUCAAUGUAUUUGUUGAAUGAUAGUAUUUUGUAAUCUAUGCACUUCAAAAGCAUAAAAAUAAUUAAAACCUGAAAGAAA